CCUACGGGUGGCAGCAGUGAGGAAUAUUGGUCAAUGGUCGAAAGACUGAACCAGCCAAGUAGCGUGCAGGAUGACUGCCCUAUGGGUUGUAAACUGCUUUUAUACAGGAAUAAAACGAGUCACGUGUGCCUUUUUGCAUGUACUGUAUGAAUAAGGACCGGCUAAUUCCGUGCCAGCAGCCGCGGUAAUACGGAGGGUCCGGGCGUUAUCCGGAUUUAUUGGGUUUAAAGGGAGCGUAGGCGGGGAUGCAAGCCUGCAGUGAAAGGCGGGGGCUCACCCCCGGGACUGCGCGGGAAACUGGGUUGCUGGAGUGCGGGGAAGGUAGGCGGAAUUCGUGGUGUAGCGGUGAAAUGCGUAGAUAUUACGAGGAACACCGGUGGCGAAGGCAGCCUGCUGGAGUGUAACUGACGCUGAGGCUCGAAGGCGUGGGUAGCGAACAGGAUUAGAUACCCGGGUAGUC
rnacentral:rRNA from 1 species